CUUUGACACAUUUUCUCUUCCUUUGAAAUUCAUAUAGGACAGAACAUGGACACAAUGCAAUUGGGAUCAAGAAGAAGAUCUUCUCAGAAAUGAAUCAAGUCCAUGGAAUGGAUAUAGACAAAAAGAUAAUUCAAGGACUAUCAGAGGUCGAGAGUCGAGGCAGGGGUGAGGACAUCAUCCUGCUAUUUUGACAGUCCCUGAAGGACAAUACAGAAGAGGGAUUUGCUCUUAUUCCUUCCCUUUCUCUAAUGUAUUUUGUAAUAAAAUUAGCAAGUGUAGUAAGAUCAUUGCUUUACUUUACUAGGACUGGAGACCACAGCAGCGAUUCUGCUCUUGCCCUACCUCUUCAAUGAGGACCCGAGUGGCCUUUAUGUCCGUGACAAGAUUUCACCGCUCUUCACUCCUUUACUGCACAUCGGCGGAAAUCCAUUUCACCAUGAGAGUGAAAUCCGGCUGGUCUUUGAUGGGGGAGAACAUCCACGCCCUCGAGGACGUCCCCAUGGGACUUCUAGGGCUGUAUUUUUUAUUUUCCCUUACAUUUCCCAAAAAUGUCAGAAAAACACUUAUGUUGUUAAGUUACUGUGUUCUGGGGAUAAGAGAAGUUGGGGUGAAGUUACCAGGGCCUGUCAUAAAGAUGGCAAACUUCCUAACAUAACUAAGUGGAUACGAUAUACACACUAAAGCUGAAAAAUCUGUAUUUAGCAUCAAGUCUACAAUAUUGUUAGUUUACCUAUGAUUCAUUUUUAAUGUAUGUUGUUUUUAUUGUAAAUCAUUAUUUAUAUAUUUUUAAAUGUGAUGAA